UUGCUAGCUUGCUAAUAAUUCUCUAGUGGCGCACGGGUGAGUAACACGUGAGUAACCUGCCCCCAAGAGUGGGAUAGCCCCGGGAAACUGGGAUUAAUACCGCAUAAAAUCGCAAGAUUAAAGCAGCAAUGCGCUUGGGGAUGGGCUCGCGUCCUAUUAGUUAGUUGGUGAGGUAACGGCUCACCAAGGCGAUGACGGGUAGCCGGUCUGAGAGGAUGUCCGGCCACACUGGAACUGAGACACGGUCCAGACACCUACGGGUGGCAGCAGUCGAGAAUCAUUCACAAUGGGGGAAACCCUGAUGGUGCGACGCCGCGUGGGGGAAUGAAGGUCUUCGGAUUGUAAACCCCUGUCAUGUGGGAGCAAAUUAAAAAGAUAGUACCACAAGAGGAAGAGACGGCUAACUCUGUGCCAGCAGCCGCGGUAAUACAGAGGUCUCAAGCGUUGUUCGGAAUCACUGGGCGUAAAGCGUGCGUAGGCGGUUUCGUAAGUCGUGUGUGAAAGGCGGGGGCUCAACCCCCGGACUGCACAUGAUACUGCGAGACUAGAGUAAUGGAGGGGGAACCGGAAUUCUCGGUGUAGCAGUGAAAUGCGUAGAUAUCGAGAGGAACACUCGUGGCGAAGGCGGGUUCCUGGACAUUAACUGACGCUGAGGCACGAAGGCCAGGGGAGCGAAAGGGAUUAGAUACCCCUGUAGUCCUGGCAGUAAAC
rnacentral:rRNA from 1 species